GCAGGAUCUUGCCUAAGAUCUUGCAGGAUCUUGCAAGAUCUUGUCAUGAUCAUGGCAAGAUCUUGCAAGAUGUUUGGCAAGAUCUUGCAAGAUCCUGCAAGAUCUUAGGUAAGAUCCUG